rnacentral:lncRNA from 1 species
GAAGAAAAAGUAUUUAUUUGACACCUUUACAAAAAUAUUUAGGCACAUAAUUUUCAUAUUUAUGUCACCUGAUUUACAUAUCUCAAUCCUCAGUACCUUUUAAAAACACUAAAAUGGUCAUUUGGUAAAUAGAAUCUAUAUUGAAAAAAUACUGUGACAGACCAACAUUUGUAGACAAAAGUCAGUUGAUUAUCAGCAUGAGAAAGAAAUGUUUAUGAACAAAAUAAUCUCUAAAAACAUCUUGUGAGACAAAAAAAAUCUAACCAGUAGAUUUCUUUUUAAAAAGUAUUUUCAAAAAAGAAAGCUUAAAAAAAGCCCAUCAUAGAAUAUCUCCUCAUACCAUGAUGAAGUGGCAUCCUAACAGUAAGAACUAGAAGGUAGGCUUAGAAAACAGCGAUGGUGCCAGAGGUUCACAAAGACCAACAACUGACAAAAGCCUGGACACAGAGGCAGCAUGAAGCUAAUGCAUUUAAUUCGGAGAUGAGAAGAACAUCCAACCUACACAGGAGCUACCCUAAGGUAACAAACUGGGGAACUUUUAACAGAAUCACCAUUCUGAAGUGUAAUUAUAUUUCUCUGAGAUAGAUACUAAUAUUUUUUUAACUUACCAAA